ACCCAUUUCCUCUCCCCAGCUGCACCUCUCUCCUUGUCUCUCCAUCUGAGGGGCUAUUUCAGAGUCCUCUGUUUCAAGUUCAACCCAACCAGUGAGAAUGUUACUUCUGCAGGUUCUUAUUGUGACUUCAACAUGGUCUUAUGGAUAUUCGCAAAUAACUGUGAUACAAACUCCAUUGUCGGCCACCAGAGCGGGAACUAGAAGCGCAUAUAUAUGGUGUAAAAUUUCUGGCAAAGGUUUUAAUUUUAACGAUGAUUAUAUACACUGGUAUCGACAGAUCCCUGGGGAAGCUCCAAAGAGGAUUCUGUAUACUAAAUCAGGAUCAGUUUCUACGGAUGAAAACUUUGAUAAAGAAAAGUUUAAAGCUAGUAAUGAUGUUUCUGCAUCCACCUCUAAUCUCAGAGUAGACAAACUAACCCAAGAGGAUGCUGCUAUCUAUUAUUGUGCCACCUGGGAUAUCACAAUAUUAGAAACCCAUAGACAACCCAUGGAGAUGCUCAAGUACUGGUACAAUCUCCACUAUCCAUCACCAAAGCAGAAGAUAGAACUGCACGAAUUGACUGUCAUGUUUCUGGCAUAA